AGCCUUAAGUCGAUCAACCUGACCAUAUAGACCAACUUUGAUUGCAUACCUUCAACAACAACCAACAUUCGAUUUACCCGAAGGAAGAGGAACAAGCUCCUAAGUACCACUUGUAUGUACAGUAGACAUCUCGUCAAUCAUAGCUUGUCGCCAUCCUGGAUGAGACAGUGCUUCACUUGUAGAUUUUAGGAUGGAAACAUAGGACAAAGAUGAUACAAAUGCACAAUGGGGUGAUAACAGAUGAUGGUAACUUAACACCAACAUAAUGUGAUUAGGAUUAAGUGUGGACCGUAUACUUUUCUCUGGUGCAAUCAGUUGACUAAGAGGAAACAAGUUCCAACUAUUAGUUGGCUCAGGUGCCGGACGUGAAUCAGAUGGGCCUGAUGCUGGGCGCGGACAACGAUAAUAAGUCAGGAGUGGUGGAGCUACAGAAGGUUGAAUUGGACUAGGUGGUAGAACUGGAGCUAUAUAUGGUGGAACUGGAGCUAGAGGUGAUGGAGCUGCAAUCCAAAAGAUGGAAUUGGAAAUAUCUAAGUUAUUACUUGGACCUGUGAAGUAUGAUAGGGUUUUACAGACAUAAAGUACUGCCGGAGGUCAGGAGAAUAGCAUCGAUAACCCUUUUGCGUUCUCAGAGUAACCUAGAAAUACACAUUACGAGCAUGAUGAGCUAACUUAUUUUUUCAUGGAGUAAGGUUAUGAACAAAACACGUGCUCCCAAAGACACACGGGGUGGAAGAGAGAACAAAGGUAUGUGGGGAAAUAAGGACAUCGAAUGGAACUUGAUUCUGGAUAGCUGAACAUGGCAUGCGAUUUAUCAUAUAGCAAGAUGUAAGAACCGCAUCCCCCAAAAAUUCAACAGAACAAUAUGAGUAGGGUACGAGUAGUUUCAAUAAGGUGUCUAUUCUUUCAUUCAGCUACCCCAUUUUGUUGAGAUGUGUACGGACAUGAUGUUUGAUGAAUAAUCCCCAUGAGAGUUCAUGAACUGCUGAAAUAGGGAAGACAAAUACUCUAGGGCAUUAUCAUUACAAGUUGUUUGGUAAUUUUAAAACAUCAACUUGAAAGUACUCCAUAAUUUGAAUGGGUAAUUUUUCUUCUUCAUAUUCUUAUUUUUUAUUUUAAAUAAUUAUAAGAUAUUUAUAUUUAUUAAUUCAAAUAGAGUAACCAAUCAUUUCAAAAUUUAAAAUUCAAAAUAGUUUUUAGUUAGAAAGGUAGUUUAUUUUGUUUUAACAAUGCUACUUGGCUUUUUGUAUUUAUGCCACUUGCCUUAAUGAGAUUGCUUUUUCUUCUACUUUUAAUCGUAGA
rnacentral:lncRNA from 1 species